rnacentral:lncRNA from 1 species
UAGGUGGGCUCAUGAGUUGUUCUGAGGAUUAAGUGAGAUGACAAUAUAAGAUAUCUGGCACCUAAGAAGUGCUCAGAAGAUAUUACUGUCACUGCUCCUACUUCUGACAAGUGAUCUUUUAAUUACUUACUGUGCCUAAAAGAAUUGCUGCUUCUGGGCCGGGCGUGGUGGCUCACGCCUGUAAUCCCAGCACUUUGGGAGGCCGAGGCAGGCAGAUCACAAGGUCAGGAGAUCGAGACCAUCCUCGCUAACACAGUGAAACCCCGUCUCUACUAAAAAUACAAAAAAUUAGCCAGGAGUGGUGGCGGGCGCCUGUAGUCCCAGCUACUCGGGAGGCUCAAGUAGGAGAAUGGUGUGAACCCGGGAGGCAGAGCUUGCAGUGAGCUGAUAUUGCGCCACUGCACUCCAGCCUAGGCGACAGAGCGAGACUCCACCUCAAAAAAAAGAAAAAAAGAAAAAAAAAGAAUUGCUGCUUCUAAAUUUCUUCCAACCUGCAGCAGAUGAGAUCUGUGGAACAUCAGACAUCUGAAUGACAUGUGAAAAUGUCAUCAAUCAUCGCUUCAGCUCUCAAAGGUGAAUUUUAUUCUAAAACUAUUUGAUUCUUAUUAACAUAUACUCAUGUGUAGAAAAUUUUUAUGUCCCUUAAUUUCAGGACAUCUACCUUAAACACAAAUUUAAAAUGUGGGAAUAUUAGUAAUCAUGUUCCAUUUGUUAAGCUUUUAUGCCCAAGGCAAUGUACCAGAGAUUCCCAAAAAGUAGAUACUUUGAUUGGGGUAAAUAAUUCGAGAAAACUAUUGUCAUAAGCUCCCCAAUAGCCCUGGGAAUAUAUAUGUAAAUAUUUUGAGAAAACUAUCAUCAUAAGCUCCCCAAUAGCCCUGGGAUAUAUGUGACUGGAAGAGUUAAUGAUGAAGGAAAUGGAUAAUCCUAUGGCAGCUUAAGAACUCAAGCAGCUGUGAUUAAUAGAGCUUGUAUACAGCAGGUGUCAAUCAGUCUCUUUAGAGAACAUCUUCAAUUUACCAAAAUAUGUAGAAAUAAAAUUUUCUAGUUAAUUUCUAAUAAAUUUCCUUGUUUAAUUGAGAGUCAACAAGAAAAACCUUAUUUUUUGUUUUACCUUUAUUGUUCAAAGUCUCCCUAAAAUGUGAAUAAGUGGGAUUUCUAAACAGUAUUGUAGACUUGGUCUCCUAAGAACACUUUUUUCUAAGAGGAGAACGGCAGCACAGCAUAGUAGCAAGACACCUAGACUAAAUGUCACCAGGCCUGAAGUUUACCCUUAGAAUUUUCCAUAGUUGAGUCACACGUCUUUGGGUAUAUCACUUGGCUCUAUGAACCUCGGUU